AUCUUGGGGAGCGUCGAGCGCUCGGCGUUCAGGGCGCGCUGGGCGAGGUAGGCGCCGCUGAUGGCCUGCCGGGUGGCCUCCGGCCCACGGUCC
rnacentral:tRNA from 1 species